rnacentral:rRNA from 1 species
GGGCCCGCACAAGCAGCGGAGCGUGUGGUUUAAUUCGAUGCGAAGCGAAGAACCUUACCCAGGUUUGACAUGUUAGAAGUAGCGAACCGAAAGGGGAGCGACCUGUAAAAUCAGGAGCUUUCACAGGUGCUGCAUGGCUGUCGUCAGCUCGUGCCGUGAGGUGUUUGGUUAAGUCCUGCAACGAGCGCAACCCCUGUUGCCAGUUAUAUUCUCUGGCGAGACUGCCCCGCACAACGGGGAGGAAGGUGGGGAUGACGUCAAGUCAGCACGGCCCUUAUGCCUGGGGCUACACACACGCUACAAUGGAUGGUACAGUUGGUUGCAAUAGAGCGAUCUGGAGCUAAUCCGUAAAGCCAUCCUCAGUUCAGAUUGCAGGCUGAAAUUCGCCUGCAUGAAGGUGGAGUUGCUAGUAACCGCAAGUCAGCACAUUGCGGUGAAUACGUUCUCGGGCCUU